CUCAUCCAGAGCAGCAGAGGGAAAUGGCCCGAUGAAGCUGCAGCAACCAUUCCAUAUAGGGAAAAGGUGCUAAUUCCAUCAGCAAGGUGCUGGCAGAUGAGA
rnacentral:ncRNA from 1 species